UGCAUUUACUACUGUAAGUCGCUCUGGAUAAGAGCAUCUGCUAAAUGACCAAAA
rfam:Salmo salar isolate Sally breed double haploid chromosome ssa13, whole genome shotgun sequence.